UUUUUAUGGCUGUCGUCAGCUCGUGUCGGGAGAUGUUUGGUUAAGUCCUUCAACGAGCGCAACCCUUGUCAUUAGUUGCCAUCAUUUAGUUGGGCCCUCUAGUGAGCCUGCCGUGGAUAACUCGGAGGAAGGUGGGGAUGCCGUCAAUUCAUCAUGCCCCUUAUGUUCUGGGUUACACACGUGUUACAAUGGCUGGUACAGGGAGAAGCAAGUCCGUGAGGUGGAGCAAAUCUCCAAAACCAGUCCCAGUUCGGAUUGUAGGCUGCAACUCGCGAAACAUGAAGUCGGAGUUGCUAGUAAUCGUUAUCAGAAUAGCUACGGUUAUAUGCCCUCUG
rnacentral:rRNA from 1 species